UUUAUGGAGAGUUUGAUCCUGGCUCAGGAUGAACGCUGGCGGCGUGCCUAAUACAUGCAAGUCGAGCGAACGGACGAGAAGCUUGCUUCUCUGAUGUUAGCGGCGGACGGGUGAGUAACACGUGGAUAACCUACCUAUAAGACUGGGAUACAUUAGAGAAACAGGAGCUAAUACCGGAUCAUAUUUUGAACCGCAUGGUUCAAAAGUGAA
rnacentral:rRNA from 1 species